rnacentral:rRNA from 1 species
AUACGGAGGGUGCAAGCGUUACUCGGAAUCACUGGGCGUAAAGCGCGCACAGGCGGCUUGAUAAGUUGGACGUGAAAGCCUACGGCUCAACCGUAGAACUGCAUCCAAAACUGUCAGGCUAGAGUGUGGGAGAGGAAGAUGGAAUUAGUUGUGUAGGGGUAAAAUCCGUAGAGAUAACUAGGAAUACCAAAAGCGAAGGCAAUCUUCUGGAACACUACUGACGCUGAGGCGCGAAGGCGUGGGGAGCAAACAGGAUUAGAAACCCCAGUAGUCC